AGCGAACGCUGGCGGCAGGCCUAACACAUGCAAGUCGAACGAACCUUUCGGGGUUAGUGGCGGACGGGUGAGUAACACGUGGGAACGUGCCUUUAGGUUCGGAAUAACUCAGGGAAACGUGUGCUAAUACCGAAUGUGCCCUUCGGGGGAAAGAUUAAUCGCCUUUAGAGCGGCCCGCGUCUGAUUAGCUAGUUGGUUGAGGUAAUGGCUCACCAAGGCGACGAUCAGUAGCUGGUCUGGGAGGAUGAUCAGCCACAUUGGGACUGAGACACGGCCCAAACUCCUACGGGAGGCAGCAGUGGGGAAUCUUGCGCAAUGGGCGAAAGCCUGACGCAGCCAUGCCGCGUGAAUGAUGAAGGUCUUAGGAUUGUAAAAUUCUUUCACCGGGGACGAUAAUGACGGUACCCGGAGAAGAAGCCCCGGCUAACUUCGUG
rnacentral:rRNA from 1 species